GUGGAAUCUGGAACAUUAUGUAGCCAAAGAGUAAGUUGGGAUCAUAGUACUGGUCUAGUGUUGUCUCACUGAACAUAAUUUACCACUGGCCAGCCUUCAAGUUCCCCCCCACCC